rnacentral:rRNA from 1 species
UACGUAGGAGGCGAGCGUUGUCCGGAAUUACUGGGCGUAAAGCGCGCGUAGGCGGCGCCGCACGACGGCUGUGAAAUCCCCGGGCUUAACCUGGGAAUUGCAUUUGUGACUGCACGGCUAGAGUGUGUCAGAGGGGGGUAGAAUUCCACGUGUAGCAGUGAAAUGCGUAGAUAUGUGGAGGAAUACCGAUGGCGAAGGCAGCCCCCUGGGAUAACACUGACGCUCAUGCACGAAAGCGUGGGGAGCAAACAGG